AACGAACGCUGGCGGCAUGCCUAACACAUGCAAGUCGAACGAGACCUUCGGGUCUAGUGGCGCACGGGUGCGUAACGCGUGGGAACCUGCCCUUAGGUUCGGAAUAACUCCCCGAAAGGGGUGCUAAUACCGGAUAAUGUCUUCGGACCAAAGAUUUAUCGCUUUUGGAUGGGCCCGCGUUGGAUUAGCUAGUUGGUAGGGUAAAAGCCUACCAAGGCGACGAUCCAUAGCUGGUCUGAGAGGAUGAUCAGCCACACUGGGACUGAGACACGGCCCAGACUCCUACGGGAGGCAGCAGUGGGGAAUAUUGGAAAAUGGGCGAAAGCCUGAUCGAGCAAUGCCGCGUGAGUGAUGAAGGCCUUAGGGUUGUAAAGCUCUUGUACCCGGGAUGAUAAUGACAGUACCGGGAGAAUAAGCUCCGGCUAACUACGUG
rnacentral:rRNA from 1 species